UGGUGAUCUCUAGAUAUUCUUGGUCUCUCACAGAGGCAUUCUUGCAAAUUCAGGGGUCACUUCUUCAGGGCUUUCUUCCCAUGACCUAUGCUUGGAUAGUCCUCAAGAGGCUGGAAGACUAACCAACCCAAGAAGUGACAUGGAGAGCAAGGGUAAAGAGAUGGCAGACAUGCUGAUCCAGAGGGGCUGGAUAGAGAGAUGUCAUUGGCUGGAUGAGUCAAGAUGCCUAGUGCCAUCUGCGAGCAAAGAUUUGCAGUACUUGGUAGUUCUGCCAGAGUACACUUGUGAUUGUGUUGCUGCGUCAUCUGGAGGUCUCUGCAAGCAUUUGCACAUCGCGUUGGAAGCAGCACAUCAGAGAGGUCAUGACAUGAGGAAUCUGCAGGACAAUAUUGCAGAAGCAGUGAUGAUGCAAGGGAAUGUGUCACUUACCAACACAACUGUUUUUGUUCAAAGCACUUUGUCAAACAGUCAGUGUCAUAGAUUUUGUGACUAUGACUACAGUACCUGGAGGAAGAUGCAUGUUCUGCACCCAUAUAGAAAAAGAUUAAAAUAUAGGCCAUCCCCAAUGUUGCAUAACUAUCAAAAGACAAAGUAUGUGCAUAAAAAAAACAAGCAGCACAAAAACAGGUGUAGCAUUCCAAAUAAUACAGACGAAGAAAAGAAACAGGCAUGACUGAGGUUGCUCAGCAGCAGUGUUGGGGUAGCUACUGUGACAACCCUCCGCUCCACUAGGGGCUCUUUGCAUUUUUGGUAUCUGGUUUCUGGUUCUCUUUUGUUUUGCAGAAUCCUGGACAGGGCAGAGUUUUUCAUAGACUUUUUGAUCUGUGCCUACCAACGCCCACAAAAACACAUGCAUACACUGCUGAAUACUGAUUACCACGUUUUUCUUGCGUGAAUUGAUGAUUUUUGUAAAUAAAUAUUCCUUUUGCAUUGAAAGCUCGUCCGGUCUCCCCGGUUCCCCUCAAUCUCAAUUGCUUAAUCAAUCUUUAUUUGUAUAGCACCAAAUCACAACAAAGUCAUCUCAAGGCACUUUACACAUAGAGCAGAAUGUAUGUACUAUAUGCAAAUACUCUGAAAAACCCAAAAAUGUAACAAGAGUCACAAGCCAGAAGUAAAUUCAACAGUUUAUUAACAAAGUGGCUAUUUGCACACAUUCUUCAAAAAAACAUUACUACUCAUCUGAGGCUGUAGCACCUAAAUGAAGAGACAGAUUUAUCAGUGGGAAGUGAAUAAAC